UAUAUAAACCGCUUAAUUACAAGGAACUAUCUAAAAAUAUGUUAACUGAAAUUUGUGUCUUAUUUUUGGAAGGUGAGGAAAGCCCAUCACUUCCUGAGAUGUCUUUUCAGAAUCCCCACAUUGCACAGAUGACGGAAGGUACCGACGGUUACGGAGACCAUCAUGUACCUAGAAACCUCAGUCAAGAAACAGAUAACAGCAGCACAGCAUCAGAGGCAUCGUACGUUAAUGUACCACCUAAAAAAGAGAGGGAGGACCAUUCUGCUGCAUCUUCAGAGAGUGACUAUGAUGAACCUGGAACCUGGUGAAAUCAACAUGAUGACUGCAAGAGAUUUUUCUCAGCAGGACAGAUGAUUCACAACAACACGUCCCUGAAAACCAUGGAAUGUAACACAGACGGGCCCUUGCAAUACCUGAGUGUUUGUUAAGAAUAUUCUAGAAGAAAAACAACAACAAAAAAUUGACAUUGUUCGUCUAUUUUAUAAUAAACAUUCUAAACAAUUAACCAUUCUAUUAUUAACCUCACAGAUGGAUCCAAUCUCAUUCUUUUUUUAACUCUCAAUUGUGUAAAAUGUAAAAAAAUUUGCAUGUGUAUUUAGAAUAUUUGCAUAUGUUAAAGUCUUUCAUUAAUCAAAAUAAUAGUCUACACAAUAUAAAUCAGCCACAGUGCUUCAUCAUUGUAAGGGAGAAUGUGGCGUCGACAAAGACACUCACAAUUACUUCACACACACAAAAAACCACACUCAGUGAAGAACACAAAACUUAUUUUUGUUAUCCAGCCCCACAAACCGCACAAAGCUAAUUUUGAAAAUGGCCAGCAUUCUCUUUUGUGAGGAGAGAGCAUGCAACACUUGCUUGUGGACACAGAUACGAUUUCAGAGAACUGUCGCAGACUUGUGUUCAUUCUUUGUGUUUGCCGCAAACCCACUUUAGCUGCUGUUGUUCCCUCAGGUCUGAGAGCGUCAGGGUCGAGUGCCAGCUACAUUGACAGGCGUACGCACGCCCACCCCUUUUCCUUCUUAGUUUGGCUUUUAGUUUGUGA